GUGCGACUUAUGACAGUUUUUUCCAUCAUGGACAUCUUCAAACCAUGUUUCGUGGCUCGAUACUUUCCUGUUGAUUUGGUUAGUGUAAAAUGCUCGAUAAUACGCCAUUCUCCAGAAACUAUGAACCUUUGGAGUUUGCUCACUUGUGGCUUCUUAACAGUAGCAUGAAUCAAAGUACCCUGGCAACAGAUAAAAAGAACUCAUGUUAAUCAAAUAGAGUUAUUGAUGAUUGAUAAACGUUUAUUUGAUUGAAUAAUGAUAGUUCUUAUACUUACAGAUGUAUCAGCAAGAACCAUUUCAACUGUUUCCUCUGUGAAUUGAGUGUAUUGUGUCCACGAAUGCACAAUCUUAACUUGAAUUUUCCAAUGUGUUUUGAAGGGCUUAAUGUCAGCAAGAGGGGUGAAUGCUUGAACAGCUGCCAUUUUCUUAGAGAAAUAGUGAAGUGGUAAUGGUAAAGCUUUGAAAGGUGAAUUAUUUCUACUGCAGUUUACUAUAUUUAUAGUAAUCGUAUGGAGCCUUUAGUUUUAUUAGGUUUUAGAGAAUAUAGGCCGUAUAAGAUAAUUUGGGACAGGAUCUUAAAGGUAUAUGCUUGAUUUAGGGAGAUUUACUUGUUUGGUAUAUCAAUAUCGAACUGAAUAUGGAUAUUGAAGAGAUUGUGUGAUUUUUAAUACCAACUAAUAAGGGAUAUAUAAUAAGUUAUAAUUCUAUAUCUUUCAAUAUAGAGAAAUACAAAUGAUUGAGUUUUGCAUUUAAAGAAAUAUUUUAAAAUUUGCAUUGAUAGUUUGUGUUGAUAUGGAAAGAUCUUUGCGAGAUUUGUGUCUAAUUAUCCAAUAAGUUACAAUACAGUAUCUUUCAAAUUAAUAUAGGGAAAUAGGAAUUAAUUAGUUUUGCAUUUAAUUUGCCGUCUACAUAUAUAUUUUUACAUUGGAAUGAAUUGUUUGCGGUGAUAUGGUAAGAUUUUUGCGAGAUUUGAGUGUAAUUAAUCAAAAAAUUAAUUGCUAACUUAUUCCCGAUUUAGAAUAAGUAAAGAAUAUGCUUGAUUUGUUAUUAUAUGGAAUCAAAAUAAAUACGUUUUAUUUUAGGAAGCAUAAAUUAUGAGAUUUGUUUGUUAAGGCAAUAUACAGAGUAGUAUAAUUGAUCCGGAAUAAUAGUUAUGGUAUUGUUUGAUUUGUGUAGCUAAUGUUUUUAUUUGGUAUUAUCUACUGCAGAUUCGAAAUGUUGAAGUAGAAGAGAUUAAGGAUGGGCCUAAUUUUAUUUAAGCCCAAUAGGUAUUUUAACAGAUAUAUUCGGGUCAGAGUUGUUUCAGAAGAAAGGACCCGACUUUAAGAUCCGGGAUCCGCGUCCCA
rnacentral:lncRNA from 1 species